rnacentral:rRNA from 1 species
GUGGGGAAUAUUGCGCAAUGGGCGAAAGCCUGACGCAGCGACGCCGCGUGAGGGAUGAAGGUUUUCGGGUCGUAAACCUCUGUCAGAAGGGAAGAAACUACAUUGUGCUAAUCAGCAGUGUACUGACGGUACCUUCAAAGGAAGCACCGGCUAACUCCGUGCCAGCAGCCGCGGUAAUACGGAGGGUGCAAGCGUUAAUCGGAAUUACUGGGCGUAAAGCGCACGUAGGCUGUAGUGUAAGUCAGGGGUGAAAUCCCACGGCUCAACCGUGGAACUGCCGUUGAUACUGCACAACUUGAAUCCGGGAGAGGGUGGCGGAAUUCCAGGUGUAGGAGUGAAAUCCGUAGAUAUCCGGAGGAACACCGGUGGCGAAGGCGGCCACCUGGACAGGUACUGACGCUGAGGCGCGAAAGCGUGGGGAGCAAACAGGAUUAGAUACCCUAGUAGUCC